CUGUUGCUGACAUGGCAAUAAGUAAAAAGAUAUAAUUACAUUAUACUUUAGAGAAGUGGCAUGAGGGAAAAUAAACCGAAUAAGGACAAUUCUCUGUUGAAAGACUAAAAUCAAGAAAUGGAGAUAACAUGUAUAUAAAGGAAAAUACAUGCAAUUUCAGUUAUCAAAGUGGUGUUGAAAAUGAAACCAAUGGACUGAAACGAAAGUAAUGUUUAAAAUGUACAGUAGGUGGCGGUCUCUGGUCGCUUCAGUAUCCACAAAGACAAACGAAGGAGAACAGGCAUAAAAGUGUGGUCUCUCACGCGGGCGGGCCUCAGUCGAUCCAUCUUCAAAACGCGGAUGUGCUGAAAUGAGCGGCUGGAAGAUCACACCAGAAGAAGAGGAACCUUAAGCUACAUUAACUUGCUGCUUUUUUGCUGUAUGUUGUGUUUGUUUAUUCAUAGGGAUAAGUUAAAACAUUCACUUAACUUUGUAGUCAAACAAUAAAUUAUGAUCUGUCUAGUAUACAAUUUCAUAACUGUGGUUUCAAUGCUGUGAAAAAAAUAAAAUGGCGAAAAUGCA